CACGUAGGGGGCGAGCGUUGUCCGGAUUCAUUGGGCGUAAAGGGUGCGUAGGCGGCGUGGUAAGUCGGAUGUGAAAUCUCGGAGCUUAACUCCGAAACUGCAUUCGAUACUGCCGUGCUUGAGGACUGGAGAGGAGACUGGAAUUUACGGUGUAGCGGUGAAAUGCGUAGAUAUCGUAAGGAAGACCAGUGGCGAAGGCGGGUCUCUGGACAGUUCCUGACGCUGAGGCACGAAGGCCAGGGGAGCAAACGGG
rnacentral:rRNA from 1 species